rnacentral:rRNA from 1 species
UACGUAGGGGGCAAGCGUUGUCCGGAUUUAUUGGGCGUAAAGAGCGUGUAGGCGGCUUUGCAAGUCCGUUGUGAAAACUCGAGGCUCAACCUCCGAGACGCCGGUGGAAACUGCAAAGCUAGAGUCCGGAAGAGGAGAGUGGAAUUCCUGGUGUAGCGGUGAAAUGCGCAGAUAUCAGGAAGAACACCCGUGGCGAAGGCGGCUCUCUGGGACGGUACUGACGCUGAGACGCGAAAGCGUGGGGAGCGAACAGG